CCCAAUUCCGUGCAGCCAGUAGGGCUGUCAAACAAUGAUUCGAUAUGUGACAGGAGCCACUGAACCCAGGCAUAAGUCGCAUGAGGUGAUUACUUUUUAAACAUGUAUACUUUCUAAUACCUUAAUAUCAAACUCGUAUUUGAUCGGUGAACAUGAGAAAAGUAAAAUAAUUAAACUCUCUUUCUCUCUAUCUCUUUCUCUGUCUGCUUGUUGCGAGGGGGCAGGACAAUGGGCGGGACAUCCAUAUUAAUGACCAUUCCGCAUGACAUUCCUGCAUAAGUAGUCAGGAAAUACCUUGUGUUGUUUACCAUCUAGUCUACUUUUUUGAUUACGAGUGUCUCGGGAGAUUCCAUCAUGUGUGACAACGCUGGUAAUGUGGCUAAAGCUCUCCUCCAGAUUACCGAGCUGAAUUUAGAUAGUGCCAGCGACAAGAACGAAUGGAUUGACAUGGUAACGGAUUACUUUGUAGAUAGAGGUGACUCAGUUAAAACAGCAACAUUAUUUUCUCGGUUUUGAAUUGUUGUUACAUCCCCUCCCUUUUUCAGUGUCCAAUUUCGCAAUUGAUGGCAGCGUUGAAUCACGGUUCUAGUUACCGGCUUCAUUUAGGCUUGCCAACCAUCCCGCAAAAUAGGCUACUGAAUCGUCCCUUAUUUGUACAGUAGUUCGGCGUUCCGUAUUUAACUCAUGGCUACGGGACGCAUUUUCUCCUGUAUCUUUUUUAACGACUGCGUUUAUAGUGACCGCUGUUAUUACUAUAAUUCACUAGUUAGCUAGCUAGCUAACCGGGAUAAAAAGCAUGCCGUGAGACCAUUUUGAGCUAAAACCCAGCUGAAUUUUAAUAUUAGCUAGAUAACAAGUGAUGGCGAAGCUAUCAUAAAGCUAGAUGGCAUUCAAACCCGAAUUAAUGACCAGAGGUUUUUGCUUAACAAUGGUGCAAAUAGAACUACCAACCAGAGUUUUUGCAUAACAACGGUCCAAAUACAACUACCAACUAGAGUUUUGCUUAACGGUAAAACAAUAUGCCCAAAUGGCCACGGAAGAAUAUUUCAAUUUCAGGUGAUUAAGUCGAAAUCAAUAAAUAUUAAAUGAGUAACAUGGUGGUUGAAUGUGACACUUGCCAGUUGUCUUUAGGCAACAACAAAACAAAUGUGCAUAAUUUUUUAUUAUUCAGUCAUUUAAAUGUAUUUUAAAACGGAUUUUUCUAAGCCUAAAUUUCCCACUAUAAAAGUUCACCCGAACUGUCUGGGCGUGGUAAUGAGAACUGUCAGUUAGCUGUGAUUGACAGACCAUGCCCCGUUACCAUAGCUACCUCCAUGAUACGCGCUCAUCUUGGCAGACUGAAUUUUCACAAGCUAGCUAACUUAGUAUAUCGAGUAUCGAUAGCUAAGGACGUUAACUUAUAUCCAAUAAUAAUUUUUGCUAGCUAGCUAGCCAAGUUAAGAUAAAACCACAACUAUAACAUUACGUUAUGAAAGCAAACUAGCUAUAAAUGAAUAUAACAAACCAGAGAUAGUCUAAUAGUCCUUAAAAGGCACAUAAGUGAACCUAGCGUUAGUCAUAUAUUUGCAUUGUCUUGCCUGUAAGCCAGCGGCACAAACUAUGGGUCACGAGUUAUCCAUGGGUCCCCAAAUAUGAUUUUUGAGCUAUCACAGCAAUCUGACUGACAGUAUGGAGGGCAAAACGGAGCUUUAGAAUGUCGCCAGCAGUGUAUGCGCGUGAGUUCGACAGUACAUUUCAUACAGAAAAGGUAGUUUGUCUCCUUUUUUUAGUUCAUUACAGUGAUGAUAGAAGUGACAAUAAUUAAGUGGUGCUGUGCUGUUAGCCUUUACUGAUCGCUGUGCAAGGUUAAUGUGAAGUAGCUAGCACAAUCGGACAGCACUAACCCAUAAAAAUGUACUGAUACUUGCUCAAUCGAACGGUAAAUCUGAAAAACAUUUGAUUAUAGUCAGCGGCACCAAACUUUUCUUUCACACCCUCAAUAAACAGCAAAAGUCCGAGUUGAAGAUUGAAUUAAACCUUUUAAAAUUAUAUAUUUUCUGAAACGUUAUCGAUUCCGCUUGGCCACAGUGAGUGAAACUAGGCGAUCUGAGCGUAUAGUUUCUAUGUAAAUUACGUCAGAAGGGUUCAGCCUUGUUAUUUGCUACCUUAACUUCACAGCACACUUGUAACAGGAUGGUGUGUCCGGUCAGAUUUUUUUACGGGGCGUGGAAAGGGGAGUGGUUAUCCUCGUGUGACGCACUACGAGGAGAACAUUCUCAACCGGCUGAAAAUCGGACGAUAAAUUUAAAAUGCAUGUUUCUCCAAAAAUAAAGAACGGACAUAUUUAAUACUUUACUCAUCGUGUUUCUUCAAUGCUUCUUGUGCAAAUAGCACAUAAAACCGAGAAAGUGUGAAAACCACAAUGUUACUCCUUUAAAGUUACCAUUUAUAGUCAUUGUUGGUAACCCAUUGUAGCAGCUAUUGACAGCUUGACAAAGGCAUCAUUGUUAUUCAGGUGAGGGGUGUGGCUAAGGCUGCAUAAAUUAAUUCAAAGUCUGAGUGGGCGUGAACAAGAGGCAGUGAGGAUCCCAACUUCUGCUUUCCACCUACAUUAAAGUUGAUUUCUAAGUAGUUUAAAUAUUUGUAUUCCAUGCAUUCCACAUCAGAUAGGUAGAAUAUUCCACCACAAUGUGUAAUUUGGUGUAACUGAUAUCUAUUUAAACACAUGGAUGCUAAGGAAAUAUGUCAGAAAAGUGUGGGAAUCCCUUGUCAAUUUUUGGCAGUGAAAAUCUCUGGUUUUCUGGCAGCCCAUUCAGCAUUAAUUUCUAACGUCAAAACAGCACGACUUCCUCAAUAAUUGUACAAUCUCCAUGUAUGAUACAUCUAUUUGAAGCUCUGUUUCUCAGCUUGCAUAUGCUAAAAACUCAAAAUCAGCUUUGAGAACAGUAAUGCAUAUAAAUUAGGGACGGAGGGAAAAAUUGUUUCAUUUACGAAUCGCGAUUCUUAAAUCGCCACGCUGCCUCCCAAAUCGAUAUUUUGUCUGUACUUUAAGGCAUUUUUUAUUAGGGGUCCAAGCAGCGAAGCUGUUGGAACCCUAUUGUAUCUGUUAGGAUUAUUAUUCUUAUUAUUAUUAUUAUUAUUUUUCUCCGCUAAAAGUGUCUGAGGCUCAGCACCCAUAAGUCCUGGAGCAACCAAAUUUGGCAGGUGGGUUCCUAUGGCCCCCCACUACUCAGGCACUAAAAAGCACGUACGUCAGCCAGAUGGUGGCGCUAUAACAAAGGGUAACGCGUAAAAGCCCAUAACUCCCACACCAUAAGUUAGAUCAACACAAAACUUCAUCGACCUAUGCAUCUCAACGUGCUCUACAACUUUGCCAUUGGCCCCACCUUUGUCCGCCAUAUUGUUUGCCCGCCAUUUAGACUUUUUAGUUGGGGCGUGGCAGUUUUCUCCGAUAAAAUGUCUGAGGCUGAGCAACCAUAAGUCCUAGAGCAACCGAAUUUGGCAGGUGGGUUCCUAUGGCCCCCCACUACUCAGGCACUAAAAAUCACCUAUGUUGGCCAAAUGGUGGCGCUAUAACAAGAGGGUCAUACUUUAAAAGGCCAUAACUCCCACACCAUAAGUCAGAUCAACACAAAACUUCAUCGACUGAUGCAUCUGAAUGUGCUGUACAACUUUCCUAUUGGGAGCACCUAUGUCCGCCAUAUGGUUUGCACACCAUUUGAACUUUUUCAUUAGGUGGGGUGCGGAAAAGCUGGAGCUCCAAAUCUAAACGAUUACGACAUUGAGUAAACUUCUUUACGGCAAGCGACAACCAUGGCGACGCAAGUAAUCCGACACCGUAGGUCUAGUUUUUAGCAGUGACUGGACGGUCUGACAGUUCCACCUAGCGUGCAUGCUAGGAUAGGCGACCCAAAGUUUCUUAGUAAAAGCUUUCUGAGAGGAUGAAUAAUUACUUUUCUUUGGCAUGGAUCCAUUUGAAGACAGUAUCGGGUGAGUUCGUUAAGUCUUUAAAUCUGUCAUUAUGGUGAGAAAAAGCUAAACCAUUUUAUUGGUAGUUUUUGAGUUUCUGUGCAAACGCGCGAAAACACGCUGGUAUAAUAAAACAAUGACGGUAAUACAUAUAUAGUCCGCUUCGUUCCGUUGCUACCAUAACAUAACAGACUCUUGUGUCUACAGCUGCAGUUUCUCGCUGCAAUUUCUAACAUUGAAUAUUCAAAAUACGCAAUUUAUGCUGUACUCUGCCAGUGUCUAAAUAAAUAAUACGCUACGGUAAAGCCUUGAGAGAAUGAAUCAUUACUUUUCUUUGACAUGGAUCCAUUUGAAGACAAUAACGGGUGAGUUCGUUUACUCUUUAAAUCCGUCAUUAUGCUGAGAGAAAUCGUAUUCUCAAUUUAAUCUCUAAAUUAUCUGUAAGGUUAGGGUUGUAACUAGUUAGCUGUUUCGUAGGUGACUUAGUUAAUGCACUCGUCUUAACUAUUGCUUGUACUUUCGCAUAGACUGCGUUGUUGCUGUACUUGUUUGUGUUAGUGUUAAUCAGUUUAACCUACAGGGUCCAAGUUGGACUAUGCGGUUGUUCCCUGCACUUGGAACGGUAGGCUACUGCCCUCUAGGGUUUUCGACACACUUGUUCCUGAUUAUGGUUAUACAUUUUGUUGUACGUCGCUCUGGAUAAGAGCGUCUGCCAAAUGCCUGUAAUGUAAUGUAAUGCAAUAUUCCGUAGCAACAAGAUAAACCCGACAUUAGCCCUAAAAUAUGCCAAUACAGUAGUGGCAACGCUGCUCACUGAAUAACGACAUAAACGAGACAAUUUUUCUUUAAUUAUACCAUGUCAUUCUACAGUCAACAUCUGGGACUAAACAUUGAAUAAAUAUACAAUCUUACCAUUGGUUUUACGCGUAGAGAUGUCCCUUUUGCGACUGAGUGGUCAUAUAUUGUGUUGGACAAUCCGUUUGUGAAAUAUGCGCAUUUGUCAUGCCUGGGUACCUUCCAAAAUAGCUGCGUUAUACCAGCUAUUAUUACAGCGUUGUCGCCCUUUUUAGAAUGGUUUGGCUUGAUUGACAAUUCAUUUAUUCAGUAGGUAAGAGUAUAAUCUUUCUAACAAUGUAUAACAUGUCUAAUUUUGCUUUUGGAAUUUAGCAUUUUUUAGGUCAGCGUAACUGAAAUUUUUCUUAUCAUUACAUUCAGUUGCGCUCUGUGGUAGCACUAAAAGAUGCUGCACCUAAGGAAACGUUGUCAACGAUUUUACGUAAUUUCUUGGAAAAUACUAUUAUUAUUGAGGACUUCUGGACAUAGCUAAGCCAUAUGUUUGCUGAAGGACCUAGCUGAUAUCAUUUUCUGGUAAGAUAGAACUGUAUCAUUGAUUUACUGUCUCUGUCUGUACUGAAAACAGAUAAGAUUUCAUCAUUGUUAUGUAAGUAUUACUGCUCAAAAUAUUUCGGUUAUAUACAUUAUUUUUGAAAUUGAGUAUCUUUAAAUAGGCUAGUGGUAUUAUAUAAUGAGGAUAUUUCACACUGUAAUGUAAGCUUUCGUUGGUAGUCAUGGCCGGCGAUAGCUAUGGGCAGGGGUGGGCUCAGCCCACCCAAAUGGGCGUCUUGCCCACCCAAUCAAAAGUUAAGAAUAUUUUUAUUUAUUUAUUUAUUUUUUUUUUUUUUGUUCAGCCAAUGGAAAAUAGCACAGAGAAUACCAGUACCGUUUCUAACUUCUGAUUGGGUGGGCAGCCACGGGUUGAAACAGCUAGUUUCUCUGAUGCAGUGUACUGCCAGUUGAUUUAAUUAGCGGUAUUAAAGAGCAUAUUGUAGUUUGGAGACCCCAGUGAAUCAGUGUGUAGGAAAAUGAUGUAGGAACUAGAUGUUCAUAAAAAUAUACUUAUAUAUACACACUAGUGACUUCUGGAGUCGUUUUUUUUUUGUGAGAGAAUUUUACUUUGGCAUCUAAAAAACGCCAACCCGGAAGUGACGUAACAGAAGGGAGAGCGGUCAAGUUGAACAAUAAGAAGAAUAGAUCUCAACGCUAGUUUUGACACAAGAGGUUGUAAAUGUUUAUGCAAAAGCAUAUGAGGGACCACAGCCUUACCAUUAUGAGCCUGCUAGGCGUCCAAGAGACCAGGCACAGACCAGGGUUACAAGGAAUAACGGUCAGAGGAGAGAAAUUGAGUUGUGGUGUGAGGAGAACCAGUGGAGAACUGGGCAGAUGUCUUGGUGAGUGACCAGCGUUAGCUUAGAUAUAUCCACAUUAUAUAAUACCACUAACCUAUUUAAAGACACUCAAUUCCAAAAAUAACAUGUAUAACCAAAAUAUUUUGAUCAGUAAUACUUACAUAGCAAUAUAACAUUUUAUCUGUGUUCAGUAGAUAGAGACAGUAAAUCAAUGACACAGUCCUAUCCACUUCUGUUUUGCUCCAGAAAACGAUGUCAGCUAAGCUAUCAGCAAACAAAUGGCUUAGCUAUGCCCAGACGUCCUCAAUAAUAAUAGUAUUUAACAAGAAAUUACGAAAAAUCUUUGACAACAUUUCGUUAGGUGCAGUGUCAUUUAAUGCUACCACAGAGUGUAAGUGAAUGCGAUGAGAGAAAAUUUGGUUACGCUGACCUAUAAAACACUAUUCCAAAAGCAAAAAUAGACAUGUUAUACAUCGUUAGAAAGCUUAUACUCUCACCUACUGAAUAAAUGAAUUGUCAAUCAAGCCAGACCGUACUAAAAAGGGCGACAACGCCGUAAUCAACACGUGUGGUAUUACGCACAGCUAUUUUGGAAGGCACCCAGGCAUCACAAAUGCGUGUAUAUUUCACAAACGGCUUGUCCAAGACAAUAUAUGACCACUCAGUCUCAAAAGCGACAUCUCUACGCGUAAAACCAAUGGUAAGGUUGCAUGUUUAUUCAAUAUUUAGUCACAGAUAUUGACUGUAGAAUGAACACGUAUCUAUGGGCGUUAGCUAACGAUAUUAACGCUGUGUUCACAUCACAGCAUUGUAAAGUUUGCUAUCAUGUAUCAUGCUAUAACAAAACUAGUAUUGGUUGUCUAAUACCGGCAGGAGGAUUUUGUAACAAAUGCAGCAGUGAAGUCCCGUCUCUUCACCUGCACAAAACGCACCCAGGCACAAAAGCCAGCACCAUUCCUUUUCCUGUUAGAAAAAUUGUGUGCUCGAUGUCCUGACAGGCUGGAGUUUGUGCAAACUGCACAAACACAAUAAUUUACCAUGAUGAUACAUGGUGAAAUGCGAUAUAAAACUACUGAAAACUAACUCACUAUAUCACGACCGCUAAGACUCACUACUACUGCAUAUUGGGCUAAUAUGACACAAUGUUGAGAAAAAAGGCAUUUUUAGGAGCUUUGCUCAAAACGGCCACUAGUUCCUCUGAAUUUGUGCCCUUAUGUCUUGUAAAAAUUAUUCAAGCCUGCAUUAACUUUUCAAAUGGUCAUUUACAGACAAGGUUAAGUAUACAUUUCGUAAAGAAUUUUACCUGCAAGAUGGUCUUUAAUGUGACGAGAAGUGCUAUAUCAAUUUAAUUGGGUGACACCAAUCCUAGUGACGAAACAGCGCCCAAGUUGCCCACCUAUUAUUUCUACCAGCCCACCCUAAUACAGCAGGCUAAAACCGGCCCUGUUGGUAGUCUAGUAAAUUUUGUGAUGCAUGCAACAGUGAUGAUGGGAGUGUUGGAACAUUGCCAAAAUGUGGUGGACAGUUGAAAAUAGUUUUUAUGUUGCCCCAUCCCCAUACAAGAAAACAUAGGAGAGUACAGAGUAUAGAAAUACAUUCAAUAGUUCAUUAUUACACAUUUAGGUACUGUACAGCAUUGUGUGACAAUAUUUUUCAUUUUUAAAUCUGAUAUCAAUGUUUCAUCUUAAACCUUCAUAAGGGGUUCAUUUAUAUGCUUUACAAUGGACAAAAGGCAAUAUAUUCCUUUUUGGAGAGAUUUUGGAUAUGUUUCUGGACCCCUAGUUAUUUUAUAACACUGUACUGAUGGAAAGCUUGUAAUUCCCACUUGAAAAUGAUGCAACAGUGAGUUUCUUGAGUAAAAACAGUUGAUUUGUAGUGAAAUGUGUGAAUAUGUUGUGAUUUACAGCAAUGCAUAAUUUAGACAUUUUGGGUAGAUUUGGAGACGCUGGGUACACUGCUUAGUUUUUCCUUCAUAGAUCUUUAGUAGUUCUACAUAUCCACUCUUAGAAUCUAUGAACUUGUGGUCAAGAAGUUUCUGAUCCAGGACAUAUAUACUUCAACCUGCUAUAUAUAUGCAAUCUCUCAGUAUUUCAUUGCGAACUAAAAAAGAGCUAAUUCUUUUUAGAUUUUUUGCCUAGACAAUUGCAUUUGUGGCACUUUAUUUCUUGCCAUUUUUCAAGUCUCUGUGGUGGGCACAUCUGGAGUUAUAAAGCUUUAAAUAGGGUACCCCCUAAAUGGGCAAGGAUUGGCAGGAUUUGGCAUAUGCGCUCGCUAAGGGGUUAAAUGUACUGGGUUUUGAAAAAGUAAGUGGCAUACAUUUAAUAAUCUGUCAGCUUAAAGGCACACACUAGUUCAGUUUGUGUGCAGUUGACAGGGGCUAUACAUUCAAUAAUAGGGCACAUUUUUAUGUCUUUUCUCUAUUGGCUGCCCUGCCAACAUUAAGUUCAUGUUAAGAUUUAGGCCUGAAAUAAAACUUGGAAAGCUCUAAGUGAAAUGACUAUGUGUUGUAUUUGAAGUUAUAUUCAUCUGUUUUCCAUGGUCCAGUGUUUAAAAAAAAAAAAAAAAAAAAAAAAAUCGUAAUGUCGAAUCGCAAUACUUACAGAAUUGCAAUAUCCACAGAAUCACAAUAUAUAUCGAAUUGGCACCUAAAUAUUGUGAUAGUAUUGUAUCGGGAGGUGCCUGCCGAUUCCCGUCCCUAAUAUAAAUGUAGACGAUGAGAAGCAUGCGUACACAUAGAUACAUGCAAACACGCAUACAGCGUAGGCAGUGUCGGAUGUACAGUGGUUUGAUUGGGAGGCAGAGCAAGAUUUCGGGGGGCCAAGUUGAGGACAUGAUUCAUGAUGAACAGCGGAGCAGAGCUGGGUGUAAAAAUGCGAAGUAACCCUUUAAGAAACGGUUGUGGAUUAUGUCUGUCUGAAUUUGUACAGUCUGAUAAACAUGUAUCGUUUAGCACUUUUGCUUUGCUAUAGAUGUAAAACAAUAGCUGUGAUAAAGGGUGCGGUGGCUUAAGUAUAAAAGAGGCUUGCAUCAUUAGAAAAUGAACAGAAAUAUCUCCAGUGUAUGUACUCACUCAUCUGACGGCCAUGCAACGACCCUUCAUUGACAAAAUUUAUCAGCAAGCUCGUAGAAUUUGAGCUUCGUAGGUUGCAACUUAUGUACCCUUCUGUCUUCUCCGUUUUCUGUUAUUUUGUUGCGAUGCGCUUUCAGUGUUUCUAUGGUUUAUGGCAUUUUGAGGCUUAGCUGUUCCUUGUUUUGCUUAGCUAGACAGGGGAGAAUAGCAGCACACGCAUAUGUCCCAGCAAUCUUUGAAUAUUAGAAAAUUGUAGUAGUAAGAGAGAAAUGAGGAGGACUGAUGAAAUUGAAUAGUUGAAACAAUAUGUUGUUAGAAGAAUGGGCAUGUAGGUGAAGUAUGACAUGAUCACAGACUAGUGCAAAGAAAGUAAAGUGACCAUGAGUGAGAUGGGUUUCCUUACUGAACGAUAUAUAAAACAGACGAUAGUACUACUUAUACGUUGAAUUAGUUGUUGAAGCAAUGCGUGAAAUUGCGCCAUGAAACUGGAGUGUAAAUGUACUUUUCUGAUGUUCAGCACUAGUAGUUAUAAUUAUGAAUGAGUCAUGUUUUAAAAUGUAAUGUUUUAAUGAGGUGUUGCAGACAGUUCAUACGUAGUAAUUGUUUGUAUGUGGGUACAUAGAGAACAGGGCGAGGUAACAUGAAUGUAGAAAAGUGCUGUUUGCUGAUGAGAACGUUUUCUACCGUAGCCAAGUGAAGAAAUGUUGUUGGUAGAAACGCCGCAGUGGUCAGCUGGUGUAACUUUUUAAGAAAAUCAAUACAUUUAUCGUCAUGAAAUGCAUAUGGCUGGCCGUGAGUGACUUGGUAAACAUCUGCAUUGAAGAUUGUGAUAUUUUGAUAAGUGCAAAAGCAAUAGACAAUUAUUAGUUAGCUAUGUAAGUGUAAGAAAAUGCUAGUUUAAGAUACAAAAAGAUCUGCCCCUGAGGACAAGGCGGGAUUUGAUUAUCCGACCUUGCGCUUCGCAGUCAUUUACUUUGGCAGUGCUCCACCGUCAUGUAGCUGUCUAAAAAGUUUUUUGGUCAAAUGUGUCCGUGGUUUUAAAGAAGACAGGACUUUAAUUACAGCUGAGCUCCGGUUGUAUCCAUAUGGCCUGGCGAUAUUGUAGGAGGUUAACUGAACGUGUAGAUGGUAUGUCAUAAUUCAGUCUUGUCUAUACAUUUGGUGAAUGGUGGGUAGAUAUGGUGCAAAAGCAAGAGUUAAGAAAUGAUACACAAUUAUUAGUGAGCAAAUAAGCAUGAAAUUCAGUUCAGGUGGGGCUUGAACCUGUGACUUGAUGCGUAGAAGAAGACGACGACGCAACAUCCCCUUAGUUUGGGGCUUCAUUCUAUGGACAUGAGAAGUUAAUGAAUUCUGUCUGUUGAAAUUGGGUUUUUAAGGGCUGAGAGUCUGUGGCUGUUGCAUUUAUUUCUGUGGGAAACCCUGAAAAGUGACAAACUCUCGGUGCUGUAUAGGUAUGGGGCAUGCCGCCCCGCCAAGGCGUAACUUGGCGGGAUGGCAUACCUUCAAUCCCAAUACAUACAGUCUGACAUUAUUCAUACCACAUAGUUCAGAAUAAUUGUAAUGGUAAAUGAAAACACCCUAUAAUGUGGAUGUGCAGGCUUUUGGCUGCACAUACAAAUGUGUGUACUGAGCUUAAAAACAAUUGCAUGAUAGGCCCUUUUAAUUAAAUGUACUUUUGAGUGUAUUGCAUACUAGGGUUGGAGGGAGAUGCCUCGAUUUGUAUUUGUAGCUGUAUUUGUUCAGCCAACAGAAUUAUUUGUAUUUGCAUUAAAAAGGAAGUUGGUGAGGUUUAACACUGAAGCUGUAUAAAAUGCCAAAAAUCUACUCAUAAUCGCUGACACUGCUAUUGAUGUAAAAGUCAUGAUUUUACAAUGACAUCAGUAAUGAUCUAGUUUAUCAACAGAUAAUUUGCUUUUUUAAAAAUCUGUAUUUAAUAAACAAUGACCUACAAAUGUGUGACAAAGGAAAAACCUGAAUAAAUGAGUGGAGAAACAUAACGAAUGCAGAUGCUUCCUUACAGGUGUACUGCAUGAUGCAAUUAAGAAAUGAAUAUCCUAACAUGCUGUGGCAUGUAUGAAAAAAUGCUGAGCAUAGUCAGUUGACUCAAUUUUGGAUCAAGAUCGCAAGCAGAAAACGAUGUUAGACUGAAUUAAAGUGGAUGUAUUGAAUUAGUUCCAUGUGUAAAUACCAAUAGAUGCACCUAUGUCUAGGAUCUUAUUGGUAUUUUGGUUGACCAAUCAAGAACCAGUACUAAUUAAAUAUCAGCUCUCGAUACCCAUUUCUAGUAAUAUCCUGUCUAAUGGCAUAGGCCCCUAAGUGCUUCUUUAGGAAAAUAUUUCACAAAGCCAAUGGCUAACUAAAUUAACCUGACUAAACUUCAGCUAGCUGCAUUUGAAGUGAUAGCUGCCCAGGGCCUUUCAACAUCUCCUUGUCCUCAUCAAACUGGAGGGUCAUCUUUUUGGCGCUUCUAUUUAUUUUUAACCUUGAAUAUCCAUGUAUGAUUGGUUGCUUUAUUUGACUGAUAAAUACGGGAUCCGCAAAACAAUAAAAAAGGCAUUUUGAAAUUGCUAAUGUUAGGGUUGGGGUAGGCUACAUCUGUCACUCCCUCACUUCACUCUUGCGCAGAGGGCUUAGGGUUAGGUCACCAAGGCGUAUGAAUUCAUGCAUGAUUAAGCAGUCCAAUGCAUCUUACUAUUGGAAUUUUAUAAUUAGCUUGAACAUGUAUUUCUUUGUUCAGUAUUUUUCUGCGUAAAAUAAUAUUAUUCAGACAAAGAAAAUAAUUUUUUUUUUUUUCAUUUUUGGCGAUCAAGAAGAUAAAUGGCUCACAGAAACAGCAAGAGGAAUGGGCACAAAUAAAAGAAAGAAAUAUGGACAAAAUCUUUGAAAGGGCACUAAUUUUUUUCAUUCUGCCGAGGGCCUUCCAGGGGCUACUUCACCAAGCCAUGAGGGUCCCUGGAUCCCAGUUUGUGAAUCCCUGAUCAAAUGUCUAUUCUAUAUUACCAGUUCCCAGUGCAGCAGAGCAUUCUGCAGCAGGAAUCUUAUUAUAUUAUGUUUUAUAUUGUUAAUUUUUUUAAGUUACAUAGUUAUGUUUUUAUGUGUGUUAUAUAUAUAUAUAUAUAUAUAUAUAGGUGUAUAUACUGUCAGAAUUAUUGCAGUAUACACGCCUUCUUAUGCAGUUGGCCUGAAGUGUCAUGAGUGGUCACGUUAACACAGGAUUCUGCUUUUCUCGCAGACAAAAGAGCCAAAUGCAGGAAAGAGAUACACUGGGUUCUAGAACAGUGGGUCCCAACCUCAGUCCUGGGGUACCCCUGUGUAUGCUGGUUUUCGUUCCAACCACAAAUGCAUUUCCAGAAUUAUAACAAGUUGUAAAUUCUUCUUAAUUAGGUGCUCUUCAUGUUUAGAGGGAUUAUUUACCCUCUUUAACCACAUUAUGUAAGAAAUAGCUAAGCAUUCCAUGAAGAAUAAAAUUCCCAUGUUCACACUGUGCUUAUUGUACUACAUGCAAACAAUUACAUUAAAAAGUAAAUUAUUUUUAGUGGAUCAAAUUAAAGACUGGGGUGAAUUUUUUUGUUUAACCUUUCAGGGUAGGUUCACUGAGCGCGGAUGCUCUUUUACAGUUACGCCCUGCUUCACACUCAUACACAUUCACACCUGGGAGCUGCCCAGUACAACCUCUAUAUUUGGCCACUGAGCAGCUCCACUGGAGGGAGAGAACUUUUUUUUAGUCAAUUAAAUCAGGAGAUGAUUAGGGGGCAGGUUUUUUUUGCGAGAGCCAGAUGUGGGAUUUUAGCCAGGACACCGGGGAACCCCCUACUCUUUGCGAAUAGUGUCAUGGGAUCUUUAAUGACCACAGUGAGUCAGGACCUUGGUUUAACGUCUCAUCCGAAAGACGGCAUCUCCUACAGCAGAGUGUCCCCGUCACUGCACUGGGGCAUUGGGGUUUAUUUGACCAGAGGGAAAAUUGCCCCCUGCUGGCCCACCAACACCACUUCCCGCGGCAACUCCGUAUUCCCUGGUGGUCUCCUAUCCAAGUACUAACCAAGCCCACACCUGCUUACCUUCAGCCAGUCGGCAGGAGCAGAGUGCAUGGUGGUAUGGCUGCUGACUGAGGUGAGUCAAUAGGCUUCUAAUUGGUCAAAGUGUGGACACCUGGCUACUAAAACUAACCAUCUGGAAAAUAAUGAAGAGUUCAAAGACAAUGCAAAUGAUAACGAGCUGAACCUGCAUUGUGUCAAUACAUUUCAGGAAAUUUAACAUGUUCUGCUACAUGUUCAGAGGUCCAUUGAUUAAUCUCAGUCUUUCAAUUGGUCCACAAAGUUUGUUACCUCUUCUUAUGUAAUUGUUCGCAAGAAAGCACAAUAAGCACAAUACGAACAUGGUAACUUUAUUGUGUUUGGCUGUUUUUCACAUGAUGUGGCUUAAGUGGGUUAAUAAUCCCUCUAAACAUGAUAAGCACCUAAUUAAGAAAAAUGAACAACUUGUUAAAAUUCUGGUAUUGCAAUUGUGGUUGGAACGAAAACCAGCAUACACAGGGGUACUCCAGGACUGAGGUUGGGAACCACUGUUCUAGAAAACACAAUCUGAGAUUUUUAUUUAAAUUUUUUAGUAAAAUAAAUAAAGAUUACACAGGGUGAUGACAUAAACCACACAAAAUAAUUACUCCCGUUUCUUUGAGGCAGUUGUCUUUCAGUAUAUGAAUUUUAAAUUUUUCAUUGAUAAUAUUUACACAGCCAUUGAUAGCAUAGCGAAAUUGAAAGGGAGAGUGCUUUUGGAAAAGUCACAAAUUAUAUGUCUUGCUAUAGCUAGCUUGCUCAACGUGAGUACAUUUUAAAAAUAUUUUUAGCCUGUCAGUUGUAGCAUUUUUCAUCCUGCUAAUCCCACUGUUUUAUUCCGCUUGUUACAAGUGUCAUAAUGAAAUAAUGAAACAACAAACACUGAUUGUCUUAUUAUUGUGAGUUGGAAUGUUACGGUCAAAAUUGUUAUUUUUAUCAGAACACAAGUGAAUUUGUAUAGAACACAGACAUUGAAACAUCCCAAAGCCGUAGCAUUCCUUAGAUUAGCAUGACCACUGGUCGUGGUUGCAAUUCUAAUCACGGAAUAAGUUAUGUUUUAAAGUACCGCAGUAUUGUUUGCUUUAUAACAUGAGCCAGUUAAAAUCAGUGACCAAUAUUUAGACUAGUAUGCAUUUCGAGCUAAUUAAUAGUAAAUUUGAAUGUAUUUAUAUUUUAUUUGUGCUUGUUUGCAUGUUGAUUCU